rnacentral:rRNA from 1 species
UACGAAGGGGCUAGCGUUGCUCGGAAUCACUGGGCGUAAAGCGCACGUAGGCGGAUCGUUAAGUCAGGGGUGAAAUCCUGGAGCUCAACUCCAGAACUGCCUUUGAUACUGGCGAUCUUGAGUUCGAGAGAGGUGAGUGGAACUGCGAGUGUAGAGGUGAAAUUCGUAGAUAUUCGCAAGAACACCAGUGGCGAAGGCGGCUCACUGGCUCGAUACUGACGCUGAGGUGCGAAAGCGUGGGGAGCAAACAGG